AAUAUGUCCCAUUUUUAGGUUAAUAAGCUUAAUGAGCUAUAUAAAGAGAGUUCUGAGGAAUGGUCAAAAAAAGCAGCAGACCUAGAGGGUGUGAUAAAAGCGGUGGAGUCACGGCUAGAGCAAGUUGAAGAUGAUUAUAAAGAGAAACUUGAGAAGGAAUUAUCUGCCAGAAAACAGGUUGAAAAGGAAGCCACUGAUU